rnacentral:lncRNA from 1 species
UUGAUUUUCUUCUUCCUAAUAGCCAUAUUUAUUCACUAAAACCUGACGACUUUAAACAAACACUUACCCUAACCCUAGACAACUUACCAUAAACGGGAAGAAAAUACAGAAGCAAGAUUAAAAGCAAAGGCAAAACACAUCUUUUCUUUUCCCCUAUAAACUGAAAAACCGAAAGUACACAACUAUUUGACUAAACGAUCAAUCUUUAGUUAAGAUGAGAAGAUGUGAUCUCUCAACCCCACUAGAGAAAAAAGCCAAACAUUUUUUUUCCAUCACAAAAGCAAAUCCAUGAAACUAGACUAAAAAACAAAAAUCUCGGAACAGAUCCAAGACCCUUUAAAGCAAAAGCCAGACCAUACUUUAACCCGACUUCACCUACAAGAUGGUCUGAGUGCUAAGUAGAUCUUCAAACCCAAAACUUGAAGCCUCGGAGACGCUCCUGGUGUGAACCAAGGAGACCCCCAAGAGUGAACAACCCUACCUACCGAGGCCUUUGGUUACCUUCAAUAAUAAAAAGAAGAGGGUGGUAGCCAAGGGUUAAAUACUAAUAGCGGCCUAGGGUUUUGAUCAAAUAAAUAAAUGAUGAUGGUUUGGUGGUGGGUCGGGAAGUGAGCUGUAUUUGCUGUUUUCCUUGCCCUUUCCAUAAAAUUUUUUUAAAGCAAAAUAAAUAAAGAGGCUGCUCCCUGGCCUUUGCCUUUAUCAUGAAAGAGUCUCGGGAACCGGCCACAUUAGAUUCCCUGUUUUGAUAAUCACAAUUUCACAUGCCUUCGAAAACUGGUGAACAACCGAGCCCCACGAUAUUUACUACUCACCGGCCCCUAUCUUAUCUUAUCGUCAUUACCAGAUUGCCUCACCCUCUUAACAAUGUUUCUCCUUCACCAAAUUUUGAAACAUACAGUGCUCAUUUGGAUUCUCCUCAACCUGCUUUUCGACACGUUCAACAUGUUUUUUUUUGUACGAUCGCAUUGUAGGAAGCUCUUUAGAUAUUUGCGGUGGAACGGUAGUAACCACAGCAAGUUUGAAUCCAUGUAAUUUUUGUAUUAUCCGAAUUUUAUUUAAAACUUUAGCUGGAUAAAUUGUUUGAGU